GUGCCAGAGAACAAGGAAGUACACAGCCUCAUUAUCAUUCUAAUGGGGGAGGGGCAAGUACAGGUCUUCACUCAGCUUCCAUGGAAACUGGAUAGUAGUAGAAGGUCUUGUUAUUACUGCCUGUGCUUUGGAAUUCAGACUUCCAAUUAUCCUGCUUGACACCACUCAGGUUGGGGUGGGGGAUGCUUUCUGUUUCUAUGUAUGCUCCUCUGACACCACUAUAGAUGGUGGUUAUUGUCAAAUAUGGAUGGGAACCCUCCCUUCCUGCACUGUGUUCUCUAAUACUCCCGCAUAAGGCAGACCUGUGACAACCAGGAGAAAGCACGUUCUAUUUGCCUCUUCACCUUUGCUGGGAGGUUUGGGGCAUGGUCAUAGUUUUCUCUGUUAUAUAUGGUUGGAGGCAGUUAUCCUGUUUUGUUAGGCUACCACUCUGGGGAGACUUCAGUUAGAGAUCUGACUUCCUUGUUGCCUACACCACUCAAUUAUUUCAAGUUAUUGGCUUCUUUGGUACUUUAAAUGUCAGAUUCUACACAUAUUUUUACCUUUCACGAAAAGGUUACCUAGAAAGCCAACAAGUAGGAAAUGCAGUUUUUAAUUUUGAAAUUUGAGAAAAAAAUACCAAAAGUAAGUACAGUUCACAGAUUUGUUCUUGGUAGUGGGGUUGUCCUGUCCACUGGCUGCUGCGGACAAAAUUCAAGACGCAUGAAAGGGUUAGGAUCAACAUUCAAAGCCUCCUUCGUCCUUGAAGGUUUGAGGCAAGCAUCACAUUAUGCUCUGUGAAUUUGCCUCUAACUUACAGUUUCCCCACUGAGUCCUGGGAUUACAGACCCACAUCGCUAUGCAUCAUCAGAACUGGAGUUCUUACAUUCUGAAAGCCGCAGUUUCAGGAUGCCUUCUCCAGUGAAGAGCACUUUGGAUGUGAAACACAGCAAGCUCCAGCAUGGUCUCAGAAUUCUUCCACACAUAGUGUCUUCACGUCUGCUAGUCCCCUUAAGAAAAGAUGUGAGUGUGUGUGCAGGAAGGAGAGGACCCGAGGAGGUCAUUUACUGUACACAUAGAAUGCAUAUAUUGAAGUAGCUUAGGUAUCAGCUCAGAAUUCUAUCAUCAGCUAUAGAUAAAAAUGCUUGAAUAUUUAGCCCAAACAAUUUUUGUAUAUUUUGGAAAGUUCUUAGGAAAAAGAAAGCAUUGGCCAUUAUUCAGGCAAGAUUUGUGGACCUGCUAAUUUAUAACAUAAGGCAAUUAAAAUAGAAAUUUUAAAUUAAAAUUUCAGGAUAGCAUACAAAGCAGUGGUUUUCAUUUCAUUUUGAUAUGCAUCAUAAUCUGCUGUUUUACUGUUGCUUUUUCCUCACUGUCCUCCCCAUGCUCCUCCAGCUACUCCCUUUGGUCUGGCUACUCCCUUUGGUCUGGCUACUCCCUUUUCUCUGGCUUACUUCCUUUCUUCCCCCACAUACUUUCAUGAUAUACAAAUUACAUUUUUCUUAUUUUAGAGUUUUAAGAACAAUUUGAAACUCAAGUAAUGCAAUACAAAAUUUGCCCACAUGUAUUUUAAUCUAAUUCCACUAUGCACUUGUCUAUAUAAAAGGAGUCAUAAUUAUUCCUUGAGAAAAAAACAUUCAUUUUAGAAACAUGUUGGUGCUGGGGAGAGCCUUAAUAAGCAGGAGCAGCUCUGAAAUGAAUCCUGGAAAUUGCAAAAUGUAUAAUUCUACAUGGUUUUAUUAUAGAGAUAGGUCAAUUGCAUGUGACUCAAAAGCAAAUAUAUUUUAGGAGGGGCCUCUCAAUAAAGUUUUAUAUGGAAAAAUGAUACCAAAAUACACAGUCUGAAAGGUUAACUAGUUCAUCACUUGUCCCCAUGUGAAGGUGAAAGGAAACAGGUAUAUAUUGCUAUAGGGAGGGAGUGAUGAGGGAACUAAGCAGCGUAACUGGAAGUUUCUGGUACAAACUUGUUACUUAGCAGGGAAUCACACAGAUGAAAUUUAUUCAUUAUGUCUUCAUCUACUCAUGCUCUUGGCUAGUUUCACUGGGGGCUUCAGUAACAACAAAGACCAAUGUAAUGUUUGUUCCCAAGUACUGCUUUCAUUAACGUUGCUGGGUGUGAACAGUAAAUAGUGAAGGGGAAAUCAUUUUUCUUUGUAGCUUCCAGAAAGUGCAAACUGAGGGAAUUAUGAAAUAGAAAUUAUUUUCUUUUAAAGACAUGUUGCAUAUUAUUCCUGGGGAGAUUUUCAUUUGUGGGUUAAUGGCUAAGGAUUCAAUUUUUUAAAUAUUUAUUUACAUUCAAACUGAGUCACAUACUUUUUGCAACAGUUCAUGCAGAUGAAAGUGAAAUGACCAGAGCCAUACUGUUGACUAAUAAGAAAGACAAGAUUAAAAAUACAAGAGACAAUUUAUACUUGGUGAGGGCUAGAAUGAACAUCUACCCACAUGUUUAAUGUAUAUAAAAUCUGAGUCAAAAUUAAUUCCUUUGGCUUAAACUUGAUGUGCAAAUUUGAUACUUGUGUUUCUUUAAACCUUGAGCUUAAGUUCCUUCUUUGUAUCAGAUCCCAGAUCUUUGUAAGAGCUACUGUUAGCUAGUCAGAAUUCAGCACACGGAGAGGAGAAGUAAGAGAUGGCUUUUGCAGCACCAAAAGAGUGAUAUUCGACAUGUGUGAACGUAGAUUCAUAGGGUGAAAGCAGGUGAAUGUAGGUUCAUAGUACGACAUAGACAUGCAACAAUGAUGCUUUCUACAUUUGCACAACAUUAAGACGCAUCAGCUCUCCUGUGCCACUCAGCUGCCUUAAACUAAAAGCACCAUGUUGUUUUCUUUGUUCACUCAUUUUUGUUUUUUUGUGUCUUGUAAACCAUUUUAGUGAAAGCUGUGUUUCUAAGGUGGAGAAAUGUAGACCUGAUGCCCGGAUUUUUAUUUCCAUGACACCCAAAUUCAUGAGAGAAGAAACACACAGAUGUGAUUUUCUACUGCAAAACUGGAGUCUUACCCCACUGCUCAGCAAAGAACAGAUUUCUCCAACUUUUACAAUACUUGGUGUUAUUUCACUGUUGUAAUACAAUGUAGGGCAAAGGGUGUUUGGAAAAAAAAUUCAAACUUCACAACUGUUGAGAAAAAAAUCAUUUGGUAGACUACCAUCUUUGAAUUUUUAAUCAUUUUGUUUAAGCUCCAUGCAAGCUAAAAACUGGUAAUUUUCAGUGACCCUUCUCAACAGCAAUGCAAGUUAGCAGGUAAAAACAUUAACCUGAGAUUUCAUAGAUAUGGGGAAAUUAAAAUUUCUUUCAUUGUUGAACACCAGGGAGAAUACUGGAGACAAUAGGAAGCUGGGAUAUUAUGGAAUACUAUUCUUUCUUUCAAAUUCAAAACCAACAAAUAUGCUCAUUGCACCGAGUGGAGGUUCAGAAAUGCUUAUGCUUCCAGUGCACUGAUGGCCUGGGUAGAUGGAAGUGAUUGGAAUCCAGAAGAUAACCAUGCUGUUAAACCAUUCAUUCAAACUCCCCUCUUUUCCUGUUAAAUGGUUGUGACUUUUGAGCAACAAUUAUUAUAAAAACAAAACAAAACAAAAAGUACAAGUAAAAACAACUAAAUAUGGAGAAGUUUUAUUUAGAUUUUAUUUGAUCUUUGGAUGUUCCCAAAGGUCAAAAUUAGUUCAAUCUUCCUUUUAGUUCCUUAGCAAAGAUGAAGAUGGGAGAUAAGUGUUCAUUCCACAACACUGUUUCCUGCCGAGGAACUGAGUCGGCUAUAGCCAGGCAGUCCUGUCCAGCUCACCAUGACUAUUCUGAAUUUGAAACAACUACCUGACAUCAAAAUGGGGUUUCAUUCUUACAUUUCUUUUGUCACCAUAGAGAAUUAAAAAGAUAAUUUGUAUUCA